AGACAAUAGAUACCCUGGUAGUCCUGGCCUUAAACGAUGAUCACUAGGUGUAGGAGGCUUCGACCCCUUCUGCGCCGCCGCUAACGCAUUAAGUGAUCCGCCUGGGGAGUACGGCCGCAAGGUUAAAACUCAAAGGAAUUGACGGGGGCCCGCACAAGCAGUGGAGCAUGUGGUUUAAUUCGAUGCUACGCGAAAACCUUACCAGGGUUUGACAUCCCAGUGUAACCCCAUAGAAAUAUGGGGCCCCUUCGGGCACUGGUGACAGGUGGUGCAUGGUUGUCGUCAGCUCGUGCCGUGAGGUGUUGGAUUAAGUUCCGCAACGAGCGCAACCCUCGUUGCUAGUUGCCAUCAUUAAGUUGGGCACUCUAGCGAGACUGCCAGCGUCAAGCUGGAGGAAGGUGGGGAUGACGUCAAAUCAUCAUGCCCCUUACAUCCUGGGCUACACACGUGCUACAAUGGCCGGUACAACAGGUUGCUACCUCGCGAGAGGAUGCGAAUCCCCAAAGCCGGUCUCAGUUCGGAUUGCA
rnacentral:rRNA from 1 species